UCUCUGAUGUUAGCGGCGGACGGGUGAGUAACACGUGGGUAACCUACCUAUAAAACUGGGAUAACUCCGGGAAACCGGGGCUAAUACCGGAUAAUAUUUUGAACCGCAUGGUUCAAUAGUGAAAGACGGUUUCGGCUGUCACUUAUAGAUGGACCCGCGCCGUAUUAGCUAGUUGGUAAGGUAAUGGCUUACCAAGGCGACGAUACGUAGCCGACCUGAGAGGGUGAUCGGCCACACUGGAACUGAGACACGGUCCAGACUCCUACGGGAGGCAGCAGUAGGGAAUCUUCCGCAAUGGGCGAAAGCCUGACGGAGCAACGCCGCGUGAGUGAUGAAGGUCUUCGGAUCGUAAAACUCUGUUGUUAGGGAAGAACAAAUUUGUUAGUAACUGAACAAGUCUUGACGGUACCUAACCAGAAAGCCACGGCUAACUACGUGCCAGCAGCCGCGGUAAUACGUAGGUGGCAAGCGUUAUCCGGAAUUAUUGGGCGUAAAGCGCGCGUAGGCGGUUUCUUAAGUCUGAUGUGAAAGCCCACGGCUCAACCGUGGAGGGUCAUUGGAAACUGGGAAACUUGAGUGCAGAAGAGGAGAGUGGAAUUCCAUGUGUAGCGGUGAAAUGCGCAGAGAUAUGGAGGAACACCAGUGGCGAAGGCGGCUCUCUGGUCUGUAACUGACGCUGAUGUGCGAAAGCGUGGGGGAUCAAACAGGAUUAGAUACCCUGGUAGUCCACGCCGUACACGAUGAGUGCUAAGUGUUAGGGGGGUUUCCGCCCCU
rnacentral:rRNA from 1 species